UCGAUUUCGACAUUUUCCUCU
rnacentral:piRNA from 1 species